CUCUUUUUUUUGCUUGAACCACCAUUUCUUCGUACUGCUGUCUGUGUUUCUGAGCUUCUUCUGCUGGUUUUGCUGGGAGGUUCGCUGGUCUGUCCUCUAAAAUAAGUGCAGUAGUGGAGAGUGGCUCAAAAUCAAGGUUCUUCCUCACAUUCUGCUUAGGAGAGAGUGGUCUGUGAGCUCGUCCAGUUUUUUCUUCAUAUUCCUUUUGUAUUUUUUUAGGAUCUUUCUGUGAGUUUUCUCUGAGGGGUACUUUUCCA
rnacentral:lncRNA from 1 species